UACGUAGGGUGCAAGCGUUAAUCGGAAUUACUGGGCGUAAAGCGUGCGCAGGCGGUGAUGUAAGACCGAUGUGAAAUCCCCGGGCUUAACCUGGGAACUGCAUUGGUGACUGCAUUGCUAGAGUAUGGCAGAGGGGGGUGGAAUUCCACGUGUAGCAGUGAAAUGCGUAGAGAUGUGGAGGAACACCGAUGACGAAGGCAGCCCCCUGGGCCAAUACUGACGCUCAUGCACGAAAGCGUGGGGAGCAAACAGG
rnacentral:rRNA from 1 species